GAUGAACGCUGGCGGCGUGCCUAACACAUGCAAGUCGAACGGAGAGGAGCCUUUAAGACCUUCUGGUCGAAGGGGGGAAGACUGAGUGGCGGACGAGUGAGUAACACGUGGGUAACCUAGAUCAUAGAGGGGGAUAACAGAGAAAAAUUUCUGCUAAUACCGCAUAAGGAGACACUUCGGCAGGGCAGAGGGUGAAAGGAGAACCGGUAUGAGAUGGACCCGUGUCUGAUUAGCCAGUUGGCAGGGGCAUAGCCGAGCAAAGCGACGAUGAGGAGCCGAGCUGAGAGGAGGCCCGGCCACGUUGGGACUGCGACCCGGCCCCCACUCCUACGGGAGGCAGCAGUGGGGGAUAUUGCACGAUGGGGCGAACCGUGAUGCCGCGACGCCGCGUAAGUGAACCAGUAUUUCGGUAUGUAAUGCCCUAUGAGCAGGGGCGUUAGUGACGGUACCUGGAUAAGAAGCCCCGGCUAACUACGUG
rnacentral:rRNA from 1 species